rnacentral:rRNA from 1 species
AUUGAACGCUGGCGGCAGGCCUAACACAUGCAAGUCGAGCGGAUGAGAGAAGCUUGCUUCUCGAUUCAGCGGCGGACGGGUGAGUAAUGCCUAGGAAUCUGCCUGGUAGUGGGGGACAACGUUUCGAAAGGAACGCUAAUACCGCAUACGUCCUACGGGAGAAAGCAGGGGACCUUCGGGUCUUGCGCUAUCAGAUGAGCCUAGGUCGGAUUAGCUUGUUGGUGAGGUAAUGGCUCACCAAGGCGACGAUCCGUAACUGGUCUGAGAGGAUGAUCAGUCACACUGGAACUGAGACACGGUCCAGACUCCUACGGGAGGCAGCAGUGGGGAAUAUUGGACAAUGGGCGAAAGCCUGAUCCAGCCAUGCCGCGUGUGUGAAGAAGGUCUUCGGAUUGUAAAGCACUUUAAGUUGGGAGGAAGGGUUGUAGAUUAAUACUCUGCAAUUUUGACGUUACCGACAGAAUAAGCACCGGCUAACUCUGUGCCAGCCGCCGCAGUAAUAC